rnacentral:rRNA from 1 species
UACGAAGGGGGCUAGCGUUGCUCGGAAUGACUGGGCGUAAAGGGCGCGUAGGCGGCGCGGAUAGUCGGCGGUGAAAGCCCGGAGCUCAACUCCGGGUCGGCCGUCGAUACUUCCGGGCUUGAGCACUGUAGAGGCAGAUGGAAUUCCGGGUGUAGCGGUGGAAUGCGUAGAGAUCCGGAAGAACACCGGUGGCGAAGGCGGUCUGCUGGGCAGUUGCUGACGCUGAUGCGCGACAGCGUGGGGAGCAAACAGG